rnacentral:rRNA from 1 species
UCUCCUGGAAACGGGUGGUAAUGCCGGAUGCUCCAGUUGAUCGCAUGGUCUUCUGGGAAAGCUUUCGCGGUAUGGGAUGGGGUCGCGUCCUAUCAGCUUGACGGCGGGGUAACGGCCCACCGUGGCUUCGACGGGUAGCCGGCCUGAGAGGGCGACCGGCCACAUUGGGACUGAGAUACGGCCCAGACUCCUACGGGAGGCAGCAGUGGGGAAUAUUGCACAAUGGGCGCAAGCCUGAUGCAGCGACGCCGCGUGAGGGAUGGAGGCCUUCGGGUUGUAAACCUCUUUUAUCGGGGAGCAAGCGAGAGUGAGUUUACCCGUUGAAUAAGCACCGGCUAACUACGUGCCAGCAGCCGCGGUAAUACGUAGGGUGCAAGCGUUAUCCGGAAUUAUUGGGCGUAAAGGGCUCGUAGGCGGUUCGUCGCGUCCGGUGUGAAAGUCCAUCGCUUAACGGUGGAUCCGCGCCGGGUACGGGCGGGCUUGAGUGCGGUAGGGGAGACUGGAAUUCCCGGUGUAACGGUGGAAUGUGUAGAUAUCGGAAAGAACACCAC